rnacentral:tRNA from 1 species
GCCUCGGUAGUGUAAUCGGUUAGUACAACACACUAGAUAACUAUAGGUGCGAGUUCAAGUCUCGCCUUAGGUU